rnacentral:lncRNA from 1 species
UGGGCUCAAUCAAUCCUCCCUCCUCAGCCUCCAGAGUAGCUGGGACCACAGGCAUGCGCCACCGUGCCUAGUUAAUUAUAAAACUUUUUUUAGAGAUGGAGUUUUGCUGUGUUUCCUAGGCUGGUCUCAAAUUCCUGUGCUCAAGUGAUAUGCCCACCUCAGGCUCCCAAAGUGCUGGGAUGACAGGCGCGAGCCACUGCACCUGGCCAAAAUAAAGCUUGACCUGAGUUGAUAUGAGGGUGAUGAGACUGAGUAAAAAGCCCAUAGGAUUCCAGCCUGUGUUCAUAAGAAGAAGCAUUUUAAUGGAGAGACUUUUUGUGAUGCGUGUACAGAGGACAUUAUUAGUGAAAUAACAGCAAACUUGCUAUUAAUGAGAUCUGCUCAAAAUCUCUAUGAGGUAGUGAAUGCCCCAUCAUGAAGAUUUUCAUGCAGAAUUGGGAUGACCUCUGUUCUUCAGACUCCAACAUACCAUCUUGAGAUAACCUCAGGCCCUGAAGUGUAUCGACAAGCAGAAUGAUCUCAGCCAAGUUGUAAAACUGUCUUUGAAAAGAAUAGCUGGAUGAAAAACAUUAGCAGCAACUGAAUCAAGAGAAAACGUGACUUCAAACUGAAAGGCACUCUCAUGCUGAUAGGAAGACAACUCUGUUAUCUUUAGGAUUUCAGAUGCUUUUAGAAUCAAACCUGGAAAGGAUACAAAAAGCAGAAGCAAAACCAACAUUUGGGAGAAGAACAGAUUAAGACAGUAGCUUAUAUUGAAACAUCACUUCUCAUUUGCUGUUUGGACAAUGGUGAUGGAACUGCUGCUUUAUUGCCCACGGAGAAGCGAAGUGAAGAGUCUAAAGUGGGUCUUGCAGUUACACUGGACAAAAGAAGUUUGAAACUGAGGCUUGGUCCUGAAGAAAACAUAGAGAAGCCUGACAGAUUAUAUAUAUUCACAGCUUUGACUUAAAGGUUGCUGGUUGACCAAUAAGUAAUACAAGAAGAAAUGGUCUUUUCUGGAAUUGUCCUUCUUUCCAGGUAUCAAUGGUGAGCAGAAGAGGAGCAGGGAAUGAUGAAAGACCACACAUUCUCCAAAAGUCACUAAGCACUGUCUGCAGAUGGAACAUUCAUAUUUUCACAUAGUAUAAGUCAUAUGAUCUUUGAUCCUCCAUGUAUUGCUAUCCAGCCAUUUACUUUAGAAUGUCAGCCUUUAUACUGAUAUCACACACAUGUUGUAAAAUGUAGUGAAGAUAAACGGGUGAAGUUAAACUUACAAUGCUUUUGCUGUUAUCCAUAAAAAUGCAAUAGGUAUUGCAUAGAAUUAGUUACAAGCACAAAACUGUGAUACCCUAUAUGCCCCUGUUACAAGAAAGUUGUCAUUUUACAUUAUGGGUAUUUAUUCGAUAUUUUCAUAGUUUAAUUACUAACAAAGCAUUAAUAAUGCCAGAUUGUGCUGACAAACAUUGCAGUCUCUGAAUAGGAGAAAGAAUAUAUUCUUUGCACCAUUAUACAAUGAUUUAGAACUUUAAUAGUGUGCUGGGGAAAAAACAUGUAUCUGUAACCUGAAAUAGUUGUUUUACCUCCCUGAGUACAAAAUAUGUCACACAUUCUCUCCUAAAUGUAUUCUCUAUUUUUACCAGUCAUUUUGUUGCUAAAAUGUAAGAUAUGGGGAUGGGAUGUGGGUGAUUGUCUCCGUCCUUUUGGGCUUCUAUAACUAAAAUACCUUAGACUGGGUAAUUUAUAAACAACAGGAAUUUAUUUCUCACAGUUCUGGGGGCUGGAAAGUCCAAGAUCAAGGCUGUGGUGGGGUUUGGCUGGCGAGGGCUCCAUCCUUCUUGCUAUAUCUUCACAUGGUGGAAGGAGCAAACAAACUCCCCCAGCCCUCUUUUACAAGGGCACUAAUAUUAUUUGUGAGGGCUCCACUCUCAUGACUUAAUCACCUCCCCAAAGACCCUACUUCUUAAUACUAACACAUUGGGGAUUAAUCUUCAACAUAUGAAUUUUGGAGGAACACAAACAUUCAGACCAUAGCAAUGUUUAUUGGGGUGAAUGCUCAUUUAACUUUUCCCAGAACAAUCCCUGUUAAGUCUGCUAACCUCCUGUAGUUAAUGAUAAAAUUUCCUUCAUUUUCCGAAGUGUUCUUGUUUGGAUUAUAAAUUAUGUAAUUACCCUAAUGACAAUUAACUAGACAUUUUUUUUCUUACUGUAUAGCACCAGUAUGGGCAAUUGCAGUGGCUUUCAAACUUGACUACAACUCAGGGAGAAAUACAUUUUUCAUCAUAACGUAGUACACACACACACACACACACACACACACACACACGCACACACACACACACAUACACUAGAUAAAGCAAAAGCUUUAGGAAAUGGUACUUGGAUAUUUUCAAAUAUAUUUUAGUCUGUUUUUUAAUUAAAAAUCUCUAGUCAUGAUACAUUAAAUUGACUUAUUGACCCACAGCUUGAAAAAACACCAAUAUUUUGGAUGUGUUUUAAGGUCAUAGAACACGCCUUCUGAUUUUUUUCCUUCCCUAGGUAAUCCUAUGCAAGUUGCCAAUCUUCUCUAAACAACACUCUUCUUCAUCUAUAAAGUAAAUAUUAAUACCUACCUGAAGGUGGCAGAGAGAGUUAACUGAGAUAAUUUGGUUAAUGAGCCUGAAAUCUAGUCAACACUUACUAAAGGUAAUUUCUUCUCCUCUCUUCCGCUUCUAAACCAACAGGACACAGCUGAAGUUCACAGGUUUGUAAAAGUGAAAAAAUAUUUUUCUUAACCCCCUGACCUCUAAAGUUUGGUCAGAGUGUUUAGCCACUGAUAAAACAUCUUUAAGCACUGUUACUUCUAUGUUCAACUAAAAGAGUCACUUUUCAGUAAUUUCCGGUCAAGCCCAUCACAAUAGCACUUGCAGCUUCUCAAAAGAAAAGAAAGAAAGAGAGAGAAAGAAAGGAAGAAAGAGAAUUGAAGGAGGAAAGAAGGAAAAAAAUCAUGAUGAAGAUUUUAAAACAUGUCUUAUUGAGGGAUGGGAUGGUGAGGAAGUUGAUUAUAGUGAUGGAUGUGACAGACAGGGCCCGUACUUCUGUUUCUGUUCUCAAACUAACAGUUUUCACACAUAACCGUUUUCACACAUAACACAUUAGUAGAAUUUCUUUUGAAUAUUUGCCUUGGAAAUAAAACAAUAAUAAUAUAGCAUUUAUUAUAUUUAUUAUAUAUAGAGUGUGUGUGUGUGUGUGUCUGUGUGUGUGUGUAUCCCACAUGUCCACAUGAGAAAUAAUGAAAGAAGAUGGAGCCCAAGUAAGAGAGUCCUGAUGCCCCAUAAUGCAGAGAGACAAAGAAGUGAUGAAAUCAAGUACUCUACCUCUGGGCCGCCAGAAUCCAGGCCUGGUUCCAGAGUCCUCUGGUUUUCACCGUGUUGGGGUGGGGCCUCCCCGGGUGCACAGCUUUUCUGCACUGGUUGGCAUCUACUGAACCUUAGGUGAUCACAGCAGUGGUAAAGACAAGCCAGCUUCCGUCUUUCCAUAGUUUGUUCCCCUGUACUUCAGGAGGGAGGGGAGCCCCUCUAUGGAAUGCAAUACACACUAGGCAUCCUAUCACUAUGUAAGAACUCAUCUUGCUCCCUCAUUUCACAUUACAUCUUUGACUGUCUUGCUCAGUUGUUUCACCUUGGCUAGUUUUUACUCUUUGGCGAGUACUCUCACAACUCUCUUGUAGGCAGGAGCCCAUUUUCUUUUUCUGAGUACUCUGGACUCCUUGCAUGGUGCUUCCUGGGCAAGGGGUGCUCAACAAAUUGUGCUGAUAAUUAAGUCAUUCACUCAAAAUAUAUUUAUUAAGCACCUAGUGACCAAGACAGAAAAAAGUUACUAUUGACCUUCAAAUCACCAAAUCUAAUGAUCAUUCCUUACUGCUCAUCUUCCUCCACCAUUGCUACCUUAGAGGCCUCCCGUGCCUGCCUCCAUUUCCCAGACUUACUGCUUGAUUCUCCCUGGCAAGCUUUCCCUUCACCAUUUUUUUUUCAGCACUUGUAAGGAACUGAAUCUGUCCCCAAUAGUACACAGUUUGAGUUAGAGCCAGGACUAGAACUCAGGCCUGCAUAUAAUCAAAGAUCAGAAAACGGCCAAAUCUUGGUGUUUCUAUUCACAGGGAGGAAACCCAGAUGGGCCUACUCACAAUACAUGCUUCCAAAUGAAAGAACGUUUUUCCCCCUAAGGACAUUGUUAGGACACUGUCUAGCUAGAAGAUAUUCAGAGAAAAUUCACUCCUUUACCUGCCCUAGGGAAAUGGGAAAAUUCAAUGUUUGAGCCAUUUACCCAAAAGAGUAAUCCAUGCUGGAAAUUUUGCUGAAAGUAUUCUUUUAAAAGGCCCUUCUGUCUUUAUUAUGACGAUAAGACUGCUGAGUCUGCCCAAGCAUAUGAGGUUGCAAAGAAUAUUUCUUUUUAUUCAGACCUUGUAUUCUCUACAUGAUGAAAGGAUUCUUGGCACAUAGUUGGCAAUUACUAUCUAGGUUUUCUGCAUAACAUAGGUUUUUUAAACUAAGCUUUUAACUCAAUAGACAUCAGGCUCCAAUGAAAAUACAUGUGGCCUAACACGAGCAGAAAUAAACACAAUUCUAAUCAACUUAACUGUUGACAAAAGCAUGUGGUUUCAUUGCUUGCGGCCAAAGUUGUAAGAGUGGACUCUGAUUUCUUGCAGGAACACCCCUCAUUUAUGUGUGCAAAUAGGGUAAUUAAGUGUCCAAUUACCAGAUUUGCAUUGGCAAAUGGGGGCUUUGUGUGGGUAAAAUUCUCCAUGGUUUGGGACCAGCUGAAACUUAGGUCUUUUCUUUUUGGAUCAAUCCCCCAACAAUAACACGGGCAUGAUGAAGUUCCCUUCUUGUCCUGAUCUGAAGCCAUGGCUGAAGACUUCCCUUAUUUUGGUAAUUCAGUGAAGCGGAGAGCCAAAGUUAGGAUCUGGGGCCUUUUCUUCCUUACUGUCUACUCUGAAAAAUAAUUAAGCAUUUCAAGUAUUUUCAGACUGACUUUUUUUUUUUCCUGCUGGCUCUGUAGAAUUGAUUACUAAGGUGAAAUACUUGUAAAUAUUCCUUUUAAAAAUUUAACCAUAUGGAAGCAUUAAGUUGAAAGACACUUCAUAAAACAACUUUAUUCUUUUCU